UACGAAGGGGACUAGCGUUGUUCGGAUUUACUGGGCGUAAAGCGCGCGCAGGCGGCUAUCCAAGUCAGUGGUGAAAGCCCGGAGCUCAACUCCGGAACUGCCAUUGAAACUGUUUAGCUUGAGGAUGAGAGAGGUGAGUGGAAUUCCCAGUGUAGAGGUGAAAUUCGUAGAUAUUGGGAAGAACACCGGUGGCGAAGGCGGCUCACUGGCUCAUUACUGACGCUCAGGCGCGAUAGCGUGGGGAGCAAACAGG
rnacentral:rRNA from 1 species